rnacentral:rRNA from 1 species
GGGGAAUAUUGCACAAUGGGGGAAACCCUGAUGCAGCGACGCCGCGUGAGGGAAGAAGGUUUUCGGAUUGUAAACCUCUGUCCUCUGUGACGAUAAUGACGGUAGCAGAGGAGGAAGCCACGGCUAACUACGUGCCAGCAGCCGCGGUAAUACGUAGGUGGCAAGCGUUGUCCGGAAUUACUGGGUGUAAAGGGAGCGUAGGCGGGUGUGCAAGUUGAAUGUCAAAUCUAUGGGCUCAACCCAUAGUCGCGUUCAAAACUGCAUAUCUUGAGUGAAGUAGAGGUAGGCGGAAUUCCUAGUGUAGCGGUGAAAUGCGUAAAUAUUAGGAGGAACACCAGUGGCGAAGGCGGCCUACUGGGCUUUAACUGACGCUGAGGCUCGAAAGCGUGGGUAGCAAAC